CGACAAAACCAGCCCUGCGGUCACCAACCCGUCUGCCCAGCGUGGUGACUAUGGGCAAAACACAUGAGUUCACGCCCUUUUUGCGUGAACUUGCGGAGGUUACCUGUGCAGUGGACUGUUAAAGGCUGA